AUGGUCUGUGGCGAGAGCAUGCCAUUGGAACGCAAGAAGGUAUGCGUGAUCGGAGCCGGGAUGGCCGGGCUCGCCUCAGCCCGCGAGCUGCGCCGGGAGGGCCACGACGUGACGGUGCUGGAGCAGAACGCCGACGUGGGCGGGCAGUGGCUGUACGACCCGAGGGGCGACGGCGCCGACGACCCUCUCGACGCCGCGGGGCCGGUGAAGGUGCACGGCAGCUUGUACGCGUCCCUCCGCGUCAUCAGCGCCCGGGAGAACAUGGGCUUCACCGACUUCCACUUCGCGCCCAAGGAUGGCCGCGACGGCCGCCGCUGCCCGGGCCACCGCGAGGUGCAGCUCUACCUCAAGGACUUCUGCGACGCGUUCGGGCUCAUGGAGGCUGUCCGGCUCAACACGCGUGUCCUGCGCGUCGCCAUGGCGGUGGCACCGACGCGGCAGUGGGCGGUGAGGUCCGUACACGAGGGUACGGAGGAGGAGGAGAGGAGGUCUUCGACGCCGUCGUCGUCGCCAACGGCCACUACUCGCAGCCGAGGCUGCCAAGCAUCCAGGGCAUGGAGGCGUGGAGGGGGAGGCAGAUGCACAGCCACCCGUACAGGCUGCCGGAGCCGUUCCGGGGCGACAUGGUGGUGGUGGUGGUCGGGUGCGGGGCGAGCGACAAGGACAUCGCCAUGGAGGUCCGCGGAUCAUGAUUCAGAGAGGAGCACUACGAAGACACCCCCGCAACCUAGGAUUCGGAAAUAG
rnacentral:rRNA from 1 species